rnacentral:rRNA from 1 species
UAUCUCUGUAGAGUCUGCAUAUCAAUAAGCGGAGGAAAAGAAACGAACAAGGAUUCCCUUAGUAACGGCGAGUGAAGCGGGAAGAGCUCAAAUUUGAAAUCUUCAAGGUUUUACCUUGACGAAUUGUAGUUUAAAGAAGUGUUUUCUGUUGAAGUUUCGGUAAAAGUUCUUUGGAAUAGGACAUCAUAGAGGGUGAGAAUCCCGUAUUUGACCGUUAUUUUCAGCUGUGUGAUACACUUUCAAAGAGUCGGAUUGUUUGGGAAUGCAGUCCAAAAUGGGUGGUAAAUUUCAUCUAAAGCUAAAUAUUGGCGAGAGACCGAUAGCGAACAAGUACCGUGAGGGAAAGAUGAAAAGAACUUUGAAAAGAGAGUUAAACAGUACGUGAAAUUGUCAAAAGGGAAGCGUUUGACACCAGUGUUGUUUUCUCGAAAAUCAAUUAAAAAUGACCGGAUUUUGUGUUGUAUUGACUUUAUCAGCUUUCUGCACUUUUUUCUAGUCUUUUUUAAUGCACUUUUCGUUUAACAAGUCAACAUCAAUUUCUUUUGUUGUAAAAGGGUCAUUGGAAGGUGGCUUUCACUUCGGUGAAAGUGUUUAUAGCCUUUGACUUCUGCAAUCGGAGAGAUUGAGGUCUGCAGCGUAGAUUCCUCGGGGUUAGAUACAUUUGUGCUAAGUUAUAGUUUUUCAUAGACAACAUGUUGACUAUGAUUAAUCAUGUAGCUUACUCGCUUAUGCUAUUUUACCUACGCUUAGGAUGUUGAACGCGCACAGAGUCUC